GUAAAUUGUCUGGAGACUGAUUGAUCAAAACUAUCAAGUCCAAAUUAAUUAUAACCAUCAUUGUUUUCCUGCUGAUUUUUGGCUGUUCCUGGGCACUGAGCAGGUGUUUGAAUCAAAUUGGGGUUGUCUUGGUGAUUAAUGCUGUCUCAAUAGUCAAAAUUAUUAGUUAUGCAACAUUUGACUUUUUUUUUUUAUUUUUGCAGAAUCACUGAGGUUGAAAGGGACCUCUCAAGAUCAUCUAGUCUCUUUUGCUUUUGAACUCUCCACAGAUGCAGAUCACAGUGUCUUGGAGAUUUAUUCCAGGGUUUGGAAUGUCCACCUUGAGAGGGGUAAAAAAGAAUGCCUGGAGGGAUCAGCUGAGGCAAGGGUGCCACUGUGCACUGCUGUACAAAUGUGCAGUGUGUCACAAUUCCUGCCUCAAAGAGCAGAGAAGCGGUGAGAUGAGGCCAAGGGCCAGGGGAAUUAAGUAGUGUGCCCAGGAAGAUGUCUUGGAGUUCAUUCCAAUCUCCUCUGGAUUCACGGUGGAUUUGAAUAUGAAGAAUUGGAGGGCUAUGCCUUUGAAGACGAGAGCAUAUAAUACAGACAUUAUAUGGGAGGAUACUGGAAGUCAGUGCACAGAUUCAAGGCCUCAUGGACAGAUGACUGAACAAAAAAAGGUGAUUUUAUUUGCAACUUACUCGGUGGUUGUUAUCAGAAACAUGAAGAUGUCUGUACAAAAUGUGUAAUGCUGCUAAUAAUAGCAUAGCUGGAAAAAAGAGACAGCACAGUUAUUGAACUGAAAGUUCUAAAUUCUCCUUGCCUGGUUGGUUUGAAGUAGUGCCUUGUCUUUAAUGGUAAUAUUUUAUUUAGAGUAGAAUGCAUUGUGAUUCCUGUGUUCAUGGCAUAUCAGACAUGGAAAGAAGUUCUUUUUGAGAAGCCAUUAUUAAAGGAAAAAUGAAAGGGGGGGAACAUGGCAGUUAUUCUGAAAAACUGCACAGCCAAAUAAUAACUGUAAAACAUACAUCCUAGAGACCUGAAGGUGUUGAGCCCUCUGGGUGCUGUGGGAGCAUGCACAUCCUCACAUAAAACAAUACUUGAGUAGAAUUAAUUACAUUAGUUUUGUUAUAAACGAGCAGAAACAGCGACCAAUUAUUUCACUGAACUGUCCGAAAUUUCAAGUGUUGGUGGAUAAGCUCUGUCUGUUCCAUCCAUGACUGAAAAACCUGAAAGGAACUUUGGCACCUGUAUAGUCUUUGUGAAUGUAUAUGCCGUAAGUUAUUUCUUUUGAUUUUGUAUAACCAUUAGGAGAAGGAAGCUAGGCUAACAAGGUGGGUUUUUUUUCCCUCCUCUGAUUAAAAAAGUUGGAAUUUCCUGAAGUGUCUAAAAAGAAAUUGUAAUUAGAAUUGAAUAAAUGUAGGAAUUCUCAGAUAAUAUUUCCA
rnacentral:lncRNA from 1 species